UUAUUUAGUGGUUGACCGUGCGCCAUAUGCUUGGAAAGAAUGAAGGGCAAACAUUGUAGUUUGCUGCAUUGUCAUUCAUGAUUGGAAUGCACUGUGAGUUCACUUACGAAUAGUCGAAUAUGAUGCACUCAACUAAUAAAUUGGACUACCUGGACACUCAACUAAUAAAUUGGACUACCAGGACAUACACACUCUCUCUCUCCUGGUUGACUUGUCUGUGUUACUUUUGCUUAGGGAAUACUAAAUCCAGUCUAAAAGGUAGCUAUACUCACCCUUCCAUCCUGCAUGAAUGAACAAUGGGGCAUGAGUUUCUGUAGAAACUAGAU
rnacentral:lncRNA from 1 species